UCAGAAUUCCGGUGCGGUGGAUUUUCAGAGAAUCGCAGAGUCAUCACUGCGGUGGUUACGUGGCGAAGUGGUCACGCGAGAGGGAAGUGAAGUGAGCUUCUCAGAGAUGAACUGUGAAGAAUGAGCUCUAAUCUUUGAGCAAAAAGCAACCGAUUCUGAAUAUGAGGGUAGAGAGCUUGAGAGUGAAGAGUGAAGAUUGAAGGUGAGGAAUGAAAAAACUAGAAAAGCUUCUGAUUGCACUGUUAUAUACAUGGUAUUCUCAACCAAAUCGGGCAACGGAUCGGGCAGGGAUAAGUCAAAAUUGGACCUUAGCUUGCAGUUCAGCUGGAUUUGCACGUUACUUCUAUGAAGGUUUGUUGUGGUUGGAAGUUCUGCUGUUAAAAUGUUAGUUUGUUUUGUUAGUUACAAGUCUGUCAAAUCAAUUUAAAAUUAGUUAGGUUAAUUUAGAGAACUAGUUAGUCAUGGUUAUUAUGAAAUUAGAAAAAAAAACUUAACUGUUAGUCAAAGUCCUGCUGUUAGUUAUUUCCCAUUUUUUGACUCUGUUAGUUUUAUUUAUAAUCGAUUGCUUUGAAAUUAUGUUACUACAAAAGGUUAGAUUGAUGUUAGUAAAUCUGUUAGCAAGUUGAUGGUGAGAUCUGUCAUGGCCUAUUAGUAUCAGAAACAUUAUUAGUGAAGGCCAAGACCAUGACCAAACACUUGCCUGAUUAUUUGAUGUAGAACUUACUUGCUGAAACUUUCCGCUAUGCUAAUGAUUGUCUUGGUGCAUGACUUGUCAUUGGGCAUGAGCGCCGGGAGCUGUUACCGCAGCAAGUUGUAUCAGUUAAGUUGUUAUG